UAGAUAUGAAUGUCCUUGUUACU
rnacentral:snRNA from 1 species